GGCCAAGUUAUUAAGGGCAUGAGGUGGAUGCCUUGGCACAAGCAGGCGAUGAAGGACGUGGUAAGCUGCGAUAAGCCCCGGAGAGGUGCAAACAACCUUGGAUCCGGGGAUUUCCGAAUGGGGCAACCCGGCUCCGGUAAUGCGGAGUCAUCAUCAGGUGAAUACAUAGUCUGAUGAGGCAAACGGAGAGAACUGAAACAUCUAAGUAACUCCAGGACAAGAAAACAAUAGUGAUUCCCCUAGUAGCGGCGAGCGAAACGGGAACAGCCCAAACUUCUGUCGUGUCAAGCUGACGGGCGUUGCGACAGAGGGGUCGUGGGAGCGAUCAGGAAGAGCCGUUAAUCUUCCAGGGAGUAAGAAAAUCAUUUGUUAGUUGAACACUUCUGGAAAGAGUGGCCAGAGAGGGUGAUAGCCCCGUAAGUGAAAACAUUUGAUCUCCCGACCGUUUCCCAAGUACUGCGGGACACGAGAAAUCCUGUGGGAAUUCAGGAGGACCAUCUCCUAAGGCUAAAUACUCGCUUGUGACCGAUAGUGAACCAGUACCGUGAGGGAAAGGUGAAAAGUACCCCGGAAGGGGAGUGAAAUAGUACCUGAAACCUCAUGCUUACAAGCAGUGGGAGUCCCGCUUUAGCGGGAUGACCGCGUGCCUUUUGCAUAAUGAGCUGGCGAGUUGCUCGUCCGUAGCAAGGUUAAGUUCCUCAGGAACCAAGCCGCAGCGAAAGCGAGUCUUAAUAGGGCGACAUAGUUACUGGCGGCAGACGCGAAGCCGGGUGAUCUACCCAUGGCCAGGUUGAAGCGCAGGUAAAACUGCGUGGAGGACCGAACCAGUUGGUGUUGAAAAGCCAUUGGAUGAGCUGUGGGUAGGGGUGAAAGGCCAAUCAAACCCGGAGAUAGCUCGUACUCCCCGAAAUAGCUUUAGGGCUAGCCUCGCGUGAUGUAUACCGGAGGUAGAGCACUGAAAGGGCUAGGGCUCUCACAAGAGUACCGACCCCUAUCAAACUCCGAAUGCCGGCUAUAUUAACGCGGGAGUCAGGCUGCGGGAGAUAAGUUUCGUAGCCGAAAGGGAAACAGCCCAGACCGACAGCUAAGGUCCCCAAGUAUGACUUAAGUGAUUAAGGAUGUGAAAGGACUCAGACAACCAGGAGGUUGGCUUAGAAGCAGCCAUCCCUUUAAAGAGUGCGUAAUAGCUCACUGGUCAAGUCGUUUUGCGCCAAAAAUUGUCGGGACUAAGGUCAUCACCGAAGCUUCGGAUCCGCCAUCUGGCGGAUGGUAGGGGAGCAUUCCGUACGCCUGCGAAGGUCAACCGAAAGGCUGGCUGGAGGUAUCGGAAACGCUUAUGCCAGCAUGAGUACGCGAUAAUCCAGGCGAGAAACCUGGACACCGAAAAUCCAAGGGUUCCUGAGUAAAGCUAAUCUGCUCAGGGUUAGUCGGAUCCUAAGCCGAGGCCGAAGGGCGUAGGCGAUGGGAAACGGGUUUAAUAUUCCCGUACCACCAGAAGUCUGCUCGAACUAUGGGGUGACGCAGGAGUGAAAGGUCAGCCGCCUGUUGGAAUAGGCGGUCCAAGCUGGUAGGCGGAGGAGGCAGGCAAAUCCACCUCCUCUUAACGCCGAGAAGCGAUAGGGAGCCGUAUGGCAUAAACUGACCCUAAUCAUACUGCCGAGAAAAACCUCUAUGUGAGGGCUUCAGGUGACCGUACCGUAAACCGACACAGGUGGAUGAGGAGAGAAUCCUAAGGUGCUCGAGAGAACCGUGGUUAAGGAACUCAGCAAAAUGACCCCGUAACUUCGGGAGAAGGGGUACCCUGGACGGCAAAGGAGUUCGCCUCCUGAGCUAUCCGGGGUCGCAGAGAAACGGCCCAGCCGACUGUUUACUAAAAACACAGGUCUCUGCUAAGCCGUAAGGCGAUGUAUAGGGACUGACACCUGCCCGGUGCCGGAAGGUUAAGGGGAUGGGUUAUUCCGCUUCGGCGGGAGAAGCUCACAACCGAAGCCCCGGUAAACGGCGGCCGUAACUAUAACGGUCCUAAGGUAGCGAAAUUCCUUGUCGGGUAAGUUCCGACCUGCACGAAUGGUGUAACGAUCUGGGCGCUGUCUCGACCACGGACUCGGCGAAAUUGAAUUCUCAGUGAAGAUGCUGAGUACCCGCGAUUGGACGGAAAGACCCCGUGCACCUUUACUAUAGCUUGAUAUUGGGUCCUAGCCUUGCAUGUGUAGGAUAGGUGGGAGACUUUGAACCACAGACGCAAGUAUGUGGGGAGUCACCCUUGAAAUACCACCCUUGUUUUGUUGGGAUUCUAACUCGAUUCCGUGAAUCCGGUUCGAGAACAGUGUCAGGUGGGUAGUUUGACUGGGGCGGUCGCCUCCCAAAAGGUAACGGAGGCGCCCAAAGGUUCCCUCAGUACGGUCGGUAAUCGUACGUAGAGUGCAAAGGCACAAGGGAGCUUAACUGCGAGACAUACAGGUCAAGCAGGUAGGAAACUAGGGCUUAGUGAUCCGGCGGUAGAGAAUGGAAUUGCCGUCGCUCACCGGAUAAAAGGUACGCCGGGGAUAACAGGCUUAUCUCCCCCAAGAGUUCACAUCGACGGGGAGGUUUGGCACCUCGAUGUCGGCUCGUCGCAUCCUGGGGCUGGAGGCGGUCCCAAGGGUUUGGCUGUUCGCCAAUUAAAGCGGCACGCGAGCUGGGUUUAGAACGUCGUGAGACAGUUCGGUCCCUAUCCAUCGUGGGCGCAGGUAUCUUGAGGAGUGCUGCUCUUAGUACGAGAGGACCGGAGUGGACGAACCUCUGGUGUACCAGUUGUCGCGCCAGCGGCAUGGCUGGGUAGCUACGUUCGGCAGGGAUAAGCGCUGAAAGCAUCUAAGUGCGAAGCCCCCUCCAAGAUUAGGAUACCCUUCCGCUUCGGCGGAACUUAAGGCUCCUCGUAGACUACGAGGUUGAUAGGUCACAGGUGUAAAGGCAGUAAUGUCAAAGCCGAGUGAUACUAAUAGGCCGUGAGACUUGGCUUA
rnacentral:rRNA from 1 species